rnacentral:tRNA from 4 species
GGGGGCAUAGCCAAGUGGUAAGGCACGGGACUGCAAAUCCCUUAUCCCCGGUUCGAUUCCGGGUGCCCCCUCCA